rnacentral:rRNA from 1 species
AGUAAUACAUGGAACGUGUCUUCUAGUGGGGGAUAACUGCCCGAAAGGGCAGCUAAUACCGCAUGAGACCUGAGGGUGAAAGCGGGGGAUCGCAAGACCUCGCGCUGGAAGAGCGGCCGAUGUCCGAUUAGCUAGUUGGUGAGGUAAAGGCUCACCAAGGCGACGAUCGGUAGCUGGUCUGAGAGGACGACCAGCCACACUGGGACUGAGACACGGCCCAG